AGAGUUUGAUCAUGGCUCAGGAUGAACGCUGGCGGUAUGCCUAACACAUGCAAGUCGUACGAGAGUUUUUAACUCAAGUGGCGGACGGGUGAGUAACACGUGAGAAUCUGCCUUUAGGAGGGGGAUAACAACUGGAAACGGUUGCUAAUACCCCAUAUGCUUUCGAGUGAAAUAGAUUUAUCUGCCUAGAGAGGAGCUCGCGGCUGAUUAGCUUGUUGGUAGGGUAAUGGCCUCCCAAGGCGACGAUCAGUAUCUGGUUUGAGAGGACGAUCAGACACACUGGAACUGAGACACGGUCCAGACUCCUACGGGAGGUAGCAGUGGGGAAUUUUCCGCAAUGGGCGAAAGCCUGACGGAGCAAUACCGCGUGAGGGAAGACUGCCUAUGGGUUGUAAACCUCUUUUCUCAGGGAGGAACUCAAUGACGUGUACCUGAGGAAUAAGCAUCGGCUAACUCCGUGCCAGCAGCCGCGGUAAGACGGAGGAUGCAAGUGUUAUCCGGAAUCACUGGGCGUAAAGCGUCUGUAGGUGGUUUAAUAAGUCAACUGUUAAAUCUUGAGGCUCAACUUCAAAAUCGCAGUCGAAACUAUUAGACUAGAGUAUAGUAGGGGUAAAGGGAAUUUCCAGUGGAGCGGUGAAAUGCGUAGAGAUUGGAAAGAACACCGAUGGCGAAGGC
rnacentral:rRNA from 1 species